rnacentral:rRNA from 1 species
UAGGGAAUCUUCCGCAAUGGGCGAAAGCCUGACGGAGCAACGCCGCGUGAGUGAUGAAGGUCUUCGGAUCGUAAAACUCUGUUAUUAGGGAAGAACAAAUGUGUAAGUAACUAUGCACGUCUUGACGGUACCUAAUCAGAAAGCCACGGCUAACUACGUGCCAGCAGCCGCGGUAAUACGUAGGUGGGAAGCGUUAUCCGGAAUUAUUGGGCGUAAAGCGCGCGUAGGCGGUUUUUUAAGUCUGAUGUGAAAGCCCACGGCUCAACCGUGGAGGGUCAUUGGAAACUGGAAAACUUGAGUGCAGAAGAGGAAAGUGGAAUUCCAUGUGUAGCGGUGAAAUGCGCAGAGAUAUGGAGGAACACCAGUGGCGAAGGCGACUUUCUGGUCUGUAACUGACGCUGAUGUGCGAAAGCGUGGGGAUCAAACAGG